CGGGUGAGUAACGCGUGGGUAACCUGCCUCAUACAGGGGGAUAACAGUUAGAAAUGACUGCUAAUACCGCAUAAGCGCACAGGACCGCAUGGUCUGGUGUGAAAAACUACCGGUGGUAUGAGAUGGACCCGCGUCUGAUUAGCUAGUUGGUGAGGUAACGGCCCACCAAGGCGACGAUCAGUAGCCGACCUGAGAGGGUGACCGGCCACAUUGGGACUGAGACACGGCCCAA
rnacentral:rRNA from 1 species